rnacentral:rRNA from 1 species
CAGUCGCCGCGGUAAUACAGAGGGUGCGAGCGUUAAUCGGAUUUACUGGGCGUAAAGCGUGCGUAGGCGGCUUCUUAAGUCGGAUGUGAAAUCCCUGAGCUUAACUUAGGAAUUGCAUUUGAUACUGGGAAGCUAGAGUAUGGGAGAGGAUGGUAGAAUUCCAGGUGUAGCGGUGAAAUGCGUAGAGAUCUGGAGGAAUACCGAUGGCGAAGGCAGCCAUCUGGCCUAAUACUGACGCUGAGGUACGAAAGCAUGGGGAGCAAACAGGAUUAGAUACCCCCGUAGUCCCUGUCUCUUAUAC